rnacentral:lncRNA from 1 species
GAGCUUGCUGCGGAAGUAAAAUUUCAAAAUAAUCCUCCAACGUGUUUGUGGCCUGAAGGAGCAGAGCAGCGGUGGGAACAAUUUAAUUCCUAAUAAAGUCCAUACCUCUAAGUCGCUGCGUGUGUGCCAUUGAAACGCAGAGAAGUUGCUAGAACUCCUCCACUCCUGCAGAGCUGUUGCCUCUCUGGGCCUGUGUGACAAUGUUUGCUCUCCCUGCUGUCACUUUGCACUUCCCCGAGUCUCUCUGGAUGGCACUUCAUGAUUUCUCCCUGAAGCAAUGAUGGAAGUAUGUCAGCUGUCAAAGGUUCUGGCAGCAGAAGGCAGCUGAGAAUAAAGCGGCUUCACGGUAAUGUCGGUGACCCCCUAACCAUACCCCGCUUUCCACCGAUGAUUUGUCUGGACAGUGUUUAAAGCAGAUGAAAUAUACAUUUUUUGAAUCAGGUAACUAUUUUCGAUAGAAGCUGGAUACUUUUAUUUUGGAUUAAACCUGAUAACCUAUCAUUCUUUAGGAGAAAAUAUAAUAACUUAUUCUGGAUUGGUG